rnacentral:rRNA from 1 species
UGGGGAAUUUUGGACAAUGGGGGAAACCCUGAUCCAGCCAUCCCGCGUGUGCGAUGAAGGCCUUCGGGUUGUAAAGCACUUUUGGCAGGAAAGAAACGUCGCGGGUUAAUACCCCGCGGAACUGACGGUACCUGCAGAAUAAGCACCGGCUAACUACGUGCCAGCAGCCGCGGUAAUACGUAGGGUGCAAGCGUUAAUCGGAAUUACUGGGCGUAAAGCGUGCGCAGGCGGUUCGGAAAGAAAGAUGUGAAAUCCCAGAGCUUAACUUUGGAACUGCAUUUUUAACUACCGGGCUAGAGUGUGUCAGAGGGAGGUGGAAUUCCGCGUGUAGCAGUGAAAUGCGUAGAUAUGCGGAGGAACACCGAUGGCGAAGGCAGCCUCCUGGGAUAACACUGACGCUCAUGCACGAAAGCGUGGGGAGCAAACAGGAUUAGAUACCCUGGUAGUCCACGCCCUAAACGAUGUCAACUAGCUGUUGGGGUCUUCGGACCUUGGUAGCGCAGCUAACGCGUGAAGUUGACCGCCUGGGGAGUACGGUCGCAAGAUUAAAACUCAAAGGAAUUGGACUGGGGUCGAUAGCUGUUU